rnacentral:rRNA from 1 species
GGACUACAAGGGUUUCUAAUCCCGUUUGCUCCCCUGGCUUUCGCGCCUCAGCGUCAGAAGAGGUCCAGCACGUCGCUUUCGCCACCGGCGUUCCUUCCGAUAUCAACGCAUUUCACCGCUCCACCGGAAGUUCCACAUGCCCCUACCUCCCUCGAGAACAGCAGUAUCCAAGGCUAUUGUCCGGUUAAGCCGAACGAUUUCACCCCAGACUUGCUGCUCCGCCUACGCGCCCUUUAAGCCCAGUGAUUCCGAACAACGUUCGCACGGUUCGUCUUACCGCGGCUGCUGGCAC